rnacentral:misc_RNA from 1 species
GAUGAAGAACGAAGCGAAAUGCGAUAAGUAAUGUGAAUUGCAGAAUUCAGUGAAUCAUCGAAUCUUUGAACGCACAUUGCGCCCGCCAGUAUUCUGGCGGGCAUGCCUGUCCGAGCGUCAUUUCAACCCUCGAACCCCUCCGGGGGGUCGGCGUUGGGGAUCGGCCCUGCCUCUUGGCGGUGGCCGUCUCCGAAAUACAGUGGCGGUCUCGCCGCAGCCUCUCCUGCGCAGUAGUUUGCACACUCGCAUCGGGAGCGCGGCGCGUCCACAGCCGUUAAACACCCAACUUCUGAAAUGUUGACCUCGGAUCAGGUAGGAAUACCCGCUGAACUUAAGCAUAUCAAUAAGCGGAGGA